UGGUAAUCGUCGCGGCCACGCCGUUAAACCCCAACUUCUGAAUGUUGACCUCGAUCAGGUAGGAAUACCCGCUGAACUUAA
rnacentral:rRNA from 1 species